CACCCACCCCCACGCCCAGCUAAGUUUUGUAUUUUUAGUAGAGACAGGUUUUCACCAUGUUGGUCAGGCUGGUCUCGGACCCCUGACCUCGUGAUUUGCCCACCUUAGCCUCCCAAAGUGCUGGGAUUACAGGCAUGAGCCACUGCACCCGGCUUUUAGAGAGUUCAUAUGAUUAGAUCAGGCCCACUGAGAUAAUCUAUUCUUAACAUCAACAGUGUCACAUAACAUAACCUGAUCAUAGGAGUAUAAUCCAUUAUAUUCACAGUACUGAGGGUUAUGCAGGCUAUGUACACCAGCCGUCAGGGAUCUGCAGGGACAUCUUAGAAUCUUGCUGGCCACAUAUUGUGCCAUGGCUGGCAACUGAAACUUGAACGGGGGUAGUUAUUUGCUGGAAGAAAUAAGGAUGGAGGAGUACGCAUUCCAGGCAGAGGGAAUCAAGUGUGUCCAAGCUUGGAAGUAUGAGGGAACGUGCCCUGCCUAGGAAUGGCAAGAGUUGCUGGCCACUGGGUGUUGAGAGAAAUGCAGGCAGGGGGUGAAGCUAGAGAAGGAAGAGAGCUGCCAGGAGAUUGGGAAGGAGGAAUAUUAGAGCAGGCCAAAUUGCUGGGAAGGGAGAUGAAAGUCUAAAGGUCUAAACCACAGCUGUGGCCAUGAAAAUGAUACGAGUACUAUUGGUUGGGAUGCAUUCAACUGCAGCGAGCAAGACACCUGGCCCAAAACAGCUUAAACAGUGAGGUUGAUUUUGUCACAUAACAAAAAUCCAGUGGAUGGAUCCAAGGUUGGUUAGGGCUGUGAACAGGCAUAUUGAGAAUCAAUGGACGGCCACCUCAGCUCCAAACAUGACCUCCCACACAGUAAAGAAGGGGGAACCAUCCCUCUGUUUCUUUCCCUCAUUCUUU
rnacentral:lncRNA from 10 species